GACGAACGCUGGCGGCGCGCCUAACACGUGCAAGUCGAACGAGCGAGAGAGAGCUUGCUUUCUCGAGCGAGUGGCGAACGGGUGAGUAACGCGUGAGGAACCUGCCUCAAAGAGGGGGACAACAGUUGGAAACGACUGCUAAUACCGCAUAACGCAUUCGAGGGGCAUCCCUUGAAUGCCAAAGAUUUAUCGCUGAAAGAUGGGCUCGCGUCUGAUUAGCUAGUUGGUGGGGUAACGGCCCACCAAGGCGACGAUCAGUAGCCGGUCUGAGAGGAUGAACGGCCACAUUGGGACUGAGAUACGGCCCAG
rnacentral:rRNA from 1 species